CCUACGGGCGGCUGCAGUGGGGAAUAUUGCUUAAUGGGCGAAAGCCUGAAGCAGCAACGCCGCGUGAACGAUGGAGGCCUUCGGGUCGUAAAGUUCUUUUAUGUGGGAUGAGGAAGGACAGUACCACAUGAAUAAGUCUCGGCUAACUACGUGCCAGCAGCCGCGGUAAAACGUAGGAGACGAGCGUUAUCCGGAUUUACUGGGCGUAAAGAGCGUGUAGGAGGCAUCACAAGUUGGAUGUUAAAGCUCCCGGCUAAACUGGGAGAGGUCGUUCAAGACUGUGGAGCUAGAGUACGAGAGAGGUAAUCGGAAUUCCGGGAGUAGUGGUGAAAUGCGUAGAUAUCCGGAGGAACACCAGAGGCGAAAGCGGAUUACUGGCUCGAAACUGACACUGAGACGCGAAAGCCAGGGUAGCAAACGGGCUUAGAUACCCGGGUAGUC
rnacentral:rRNA from 1 species